UAAAUUUAAAUAGAAUUUCAAAUAAAACAAUAAAGGAAAUUUCAGAAUGGAGAGAUAUCUGUUGAAGGAGAAGCAGAGUUCCAAGAAAAAUGCCAGCGCCGAUUCCAACAAUGAAGAUUCCUUGUAAAUUUCUACAUCAAGCGAUGAUGAAAACCCAAAAGAUUAUACAACACUAGUGGAAAAAAAGAAAUACGCACAAAAGGCAAGAAAGAAUUGGCUACAUGUUUAAAAUUUUUUUUGGUGUGGUAAGUAAGGACUGGAUGCUUCUUGGCGAAGAUAACUAUUUUGUGAAGUGUAAAUAUUGCAAAAAGAAUUUGCAAUAUAAACUAUCAAUUUAACAAAAAAACAUGUUUUGUGUUAAAACAUAGAGAAAAUUCAAACCCAUUCAAUGGACUACCGAAGUGACUGAAUUUUGCAGAAAACAGUGGGGCAAAAGAUUAGCAAGGAUGUGUGAAGCAAGAUUUUCUUUGUACAUAGCUUGUCACUCAUCAAUAAACUCUGUAAAUCAUUUGUUUGGAUGUGAAAAAGAAAAUCAUAACAAUGAUGCAGUCACAGCGGAUAUUUCAUUAGCCAGAACGAAAUGCACAGCAAUUUUGAAACACAUAUGGGCACCUUAUUUUCAAGAAAAAUUAAAAUUUGAUUUGACUGAUUGUAAUUUUGAAAGAAAGAUUUGAAAGAUAAUAAUUAGGUAUUUUAUUUAAAUAAGAAACCAAAUUACUACAACAUUUUGUAGCAAUUGAAAAGUGCGAGGACAGUAGCGCUAAUUGAAUUGUUUUUAAACAAGUAUUAAAACAUUUUAACUUGGAUAUUGGUAAUUUAACUGGAUUAGGAACAGAUAAUGCCAAGGUGAUGAUUGGCUCAAAUAACAGCGUACAUAAAAACCUACAAGAAUUAAAAACAAAUAAAACUUGUCCCGUGUGCUUGCCAUUCCUUGCAGCUUGCUGUAACACAUGCAGUUUCAAAAUCGUUUCCUCCUGACAUGAAUAUUUGUCUAAUGAAAUCUAUGAUUGGUUUUAAAAUCCUCAAAGAGGCAAGAUCUUUAUAAAAAAACUAUUUUACUAUUUUAAUGAUAACGAACCACUGAAAAUUACUCGUGUAUGUACAACACGUUGGAUGUCCAUUGAAACUAAUAUAAAACGAAUUUGUGAACAGUGGUUGGAAUUUAAAAAAAGAUAUGAUGAAGUUAAAACGCUUUUUAGUUUAAUGGCUUUAAUUAAAAAUAAAAUUCGAAAUGGAAUUAAACCUUAACUGAUAAGUUCAAUAAUACAAAUUCGAGAAGGAUUAAAAUUCGAAAAUAUAUGCUGUUACACAAUAUCUAAUGAUAUUGAAAAAAAAAUAAGAUCAUUUGAAAUAUAUCAAUAUGAAGAUAAAGAUGAAGAAAUAUUGGAGUCCAUUUAAUCAAAUGCUAUUUGUAUCCAAUAAUAUUGUAUUUAUGAAUUAAUUUUGAUAAAUGAAUAAGAAAAUUUAAAAUCAUAUUUCAUUAAAAAAUGAAA